AAAGUCCUUGCAUCCUCUUCCAUUCUGUUUCUUUGGGUCUAUCCACGGAGGACAAACCCACGCGACCACUACGGAGUAAUGACAGCAGCUUUCUGCUCUGAAAGAUUUAUUUAGGGUUUCUUUCUCUCUCUGGUGUUACUAUUCAACUCUCGGGGAGGAUGAGAAAGUGUUGUGAUUUCAAGGAAGUGGAGUCCUUAAGGUCCCUGAAAGAUUUCACAGCCUUGGAAACCUCACACACGGAGGAGACUCACAGCACUACAUAUCCAUUCAUCCUCUUCAAGGCGUGGGUGGCCUCAUAGAUUCUGCGGUUGAUUUCAGACUCCUCUUGCCGUAUGUAAUUUACCUUCCUGCUGCCAUUUCACAUUUAUCGGUUUCAGUGCCAUUCCUUCAUAUGGCCAUGGGUUUUUAUUUUGUUUUGUUUCUUUCUUUCAGCUUUAUUUUCCCCAUUCAGGGGGAGGAGGGAAUUCCAACACCAGUCAAAUGACAUUUUAUAUUGCUUCUGUCUCUUUAACACUCUAGAAUAGUGGCCACUUUCUUAAAGGGACAGUGGUGUGUUCCUGUUCCUUGAUUGUUGUACUCUUUCCCCAGAUCCCGCAACUAGGAGCCAAAUAAAAGCCUUAACUAAUAUGGAAUUUCACCCUGAAUGGUCACAAAUUAAGCAGAGUGGGCUCUUUAUUAGCCUAAACAAAUUAGUCUCAUUUUCUAUUUUUGGUUUAUACCAUAAGAAAUGAGAUAAUUUUAAAUGCAAAACUUUGUACACUGUGCAAAUCACGUCAGUAUGUCAAAGUAAAAUAACAAACCUAAUGAGGAAUGUUAAAAAAGCAGGACCCAUUAGUUUAAAGAUACAUGGAAACAGCCAAAGAUGACAAACAUGCAUAAAAUUCAAAACAUGAUGGAAAAGGGAACAGGCACUGAACCACAUAAAUCAGUGUUUUGAAUUCUAUUUCUCUGUGGGUAUAAUUGUACCUUAGUUUCUUAUAAUGAUUUAUUGAGGUAAAUAUUCUGUAUGGUUUAACAGCUACAGCUUCAAAGUGUCAGGCACAGACUCUCCUUUAUUCAUGAGGCAGCUGAGUAUUGGGAUGUGAAUUAGCUUCUGUAUUCUGGGACUUGGCAAAGUUUGUUUUUAAGGUCCUUAUAAAGGAUUCAUGUUGAUGCAGUUAUUCAAAAGUGAAAAACACUGUGCUGUAAUGGAUGAAAUAGAAAACUUUUACAGUAAUUCUGCAGGAAAAAAGUAAAUAAACUGAAAUAAACCAUGCAGAAUUACCUUCAGCAAAAGAAAGGAAUGCCCUUGAGUUAAUAUUAGUCCACUAAUUCAUACAUAGGAUCACACAGCAACCUAAUUUCUUGAUGAAGUACUGAAGGGUGAGUGGAAUCCAGAAUUUAUUUUAAAUAAAAAGUAUUAAAAUAUGAGAAACAAACAGAAUGAAGUUUUAAACUGUGACAUAGGCAGUUUGGGUUGAUUGCCAAACCACGCUUUCUAUUGCUCUCAGACCAGGAUAAACCAACCAUUAACUAAUAAAAAGAGUCAUAGUCCAUGAAAGCUAUGAUUGCAUUUUAAGAGUUUUUAAAUCUAUUAUUAAGAAAGAACAAUUUGCAAAAUAUAUUCCCUCUUCUGUUGAUAUUCAUAGGGCCAUGGUUAGCAGAAAUUAUAUAUGGGCUCCCAUAGUGUGGAAACCUCAUGGAAGCCAUGAAAAUUCACUGAGCUUCCGUGAGUACUGUGCCAAAAUAUUUAGCAGGAACUUUGGUCGUUGCCAAGAAACAUGUGAGCCUCAGAUACAGAAGCUUUGCCUGUACUGGUAUUUCAACAAUACCGGAGAGAAAUCUAACCCCUUGAUGCAUACAUUGGUUCUCGCCCCAUCUGUCAGAGUAGCAUUAUGCUUUCUCACAGGUUGGGAUGCCAUUUUUGAACAGUUUUUGAACAACCAAAUAUAGGUUUAGACUAAUACAGAAGAAAUGUCAUUUGCUGAAUUUCUGGGUAAGAAGAUCAUCUUAGUCGUGACCCAUGCUAAGUUAAGUUUGCAUGCUUCGUUAUGAAGGGAUGUCAUCUACUGACAAUUGUAGGCAUCAUCAACAAAUGCUUGUCUUCUGUAUAAUAUCUGUUAGCUUAAGAGUGACCUGCAGUGAAGCUCAAAUCACAAAAUGCCAAAUUUUCAUAACAUUACAUCCUUCCAUCAGCUUAUCUUUUCAGUCAUAUUCAAGUAUCUUUUCAGGAAGCUGCAGGGGACCAUGAGUGGAUUCAUCGUCCCAGAUUGGCCUAUGAAAAGUUCCAGUGUUCUUAAAAAAGGCAACCAAAGUAACAGAAGAGAAGCAAGAGCAAAGACUUCUGUAAUCUCUCAUGGUCUUGGCUAGCAAGACAAAGGAGGUGUUUUUAUUCUACUGUCAAAAUACACUGAGCCACCAGAUUGUUCUUUAGAUAUUUUUGAAGUGUUCAAACAUUUAAAUUGAACAAUUUUAUAUAUUAUAUGUAAAAGUUGCUUUAAACAAACAUUCAGUUGGAGAAUUUCAAUACAGUAGAACCUCAGAGUUAUGAACACCUCGAAAUGGAGGUUGUUCGUAACUCAGAAAUGUUAAUAACUCUGGACAAAGCAUUAUGGGUGGUUCUUUCAAAAGUUUACAACUGAACGUUGACUUAAUACAGCUUUGAAGCUUUACUAUGCAGAACAAAAAUACUGCUUUUAACCAUCUUAAUUUAAAUGAAACAAGCACAGUUUCCUUAUCUUGUCAAAUCUUUUUUUUUAAACUUUCCCUUUAUUUUUUAGUAGUUUACUUUUAACACAGUACUGUACUGUAUUUGCUUUUGUCUCUGCUACACUGGGUUGCCAACCCUGCGGGGGUGGUGCCUGCAGGCAGGGGCAGCGCACAGAGCCACCCUGAGCCUAGGACAUGCUGGCCAUUUCUGGGAGCUGCGCAAGGUAAGUGCCACACAGCUGGAGCCCGCACCCUCCCACACCACAACCCCAGCCCUGAGCC